rnacentral:misc_RNA from 1 species
UCCGGCUUGUCGCCGGCGGUCCCUCUAGAGUGCCCAACUGAAUGAUGGCAACUGAAGGGAUCGUUCUCUCGUUCCCGCGACCGGGAUGUCAAAGGCUGGUAAGGUUCUUCGCGUUGCUUCGAAUUGAACCACAUGCUCCACCGCUUGUGCGGGCCCCCGUCAAUUCCUUUGAGUUUUAAUCUUGCGACCGUACUCCCCAGGCGGGAUGCUUAAUGCGUUAGCUGCGCCACUGAAGAGCAAGCUCCCCAACGGCUAGCAUCCAUCGUUUACAGCGUGGACUAC